CAGAGAUGUGAGGAGGAAGAAUCUGCACCCCCCGCCUCUCUCUGUGCACCACAUGGCCAAAACCUCCUGAGCUGCCGGGAGUCGGCUGAGAUGCAGCUGAAGCUUCCUGAAGCUGGCCAAUCACAACAGAGUAGGCUCAUCUGGAGUGAAUGAUUCCGUGUUUUCUCCCCUGACGAGGUUGUUACCAACGGCGACCGUUAACGCCGACUGGGGAGAGGUGCAUCGUGGGAUUGCCACCUGGAUGGCACCUCCUUUUCUGGAAACGAGGAGUGAGAAGCCGCUAACGAGUUAGCAUGUCUGCAUGGGUGCAAGGCACACACACACACACACACACACACACUGACACACAACCAGCAUGACACACACACUCAGACCGAAAGAGCAAACGCACCCACACAGAGCA